rnacentral:rRNA from 1 species
GACAGAGGGUGCAAACGUUGUUCGGAAUUACUGGGCGUAAAGCGCGUGUAGGCGGCCCUGCAAGUCGGAUGUGAAAUCCCACGGCUCAACCGUGGAAGUGCAUUCGAAACUGCAGGGCUAGAGUCCUGGAGAGGAAGGUGGAAUGCUUGGUGUAGAGGUGAAAUUCGUAGAUAUCGGGAGGAACACCAGUGGCGAAGGCGGCGAUCUGGGUCGAUACUGACGCUGAGGUGCGAAAGCGUGGGGAGCAAACAGG